GCAGUCGAGCGGACCGACGGGAGCUUGCUCCCUUAGGUCAGCGGCGGACGGGUGAGUAACACGUGGGUAACCUGCCUGUAAGACUGGGAUAACUCCGGGAAACCGGGGCUAAUACCGGAUGCUUGAUUGAACCGCAUGGUUCAAUCAUAAAAGGUGGCUUUUAGCUACCACUUACAGAUGGACCCGCGGCGCAUUAGCUAGUUGGUGAGGUAACGGCUCACCAAGGCGACGAUGCGUAGCCGACCUGAGAGGGUGAUCGGCCACACUGGGACUGAGACACGGCCCAGACUCCUACGGGAGGCAGCAGUAGGGAAUCUUCCGCAAUGGACGAAAGUCUGACGGAGCAACGCCGCGUGAGUGAUGAAGGUUUUCGGAUCGUAAAACUCUGUUGUUAGGGAAGAACAAGUACCGUUCGAAUAGGGCGGCACCUUGACGGUACCUAACCAGAAAGCCACGCUAACUACGUGCCAGCAGCCGCGGUAAUACGUAGGUGGCAAGCGUUGUCCGGAAUUAUUGGGCGUAAAGCGCGCGCAGGCGGUUUCUUAAGUCUGAUGUGAAAGCCCCCGGCUCAACCGGGGAGGGUCAUUGGAAACUGGGGAACUUGAGUGCAGAAGAGGAGAGUGGAAUUCCACGUGUAGCGGUGAAAUGCGUAGAGAUGUGGAGGAACACCAGUGGCGAAGGCGACUCUCUGGUCUGUAACUGACGCUGAGGCGCGAAAGCGUGGGGAGCGAACAGGAUUAGAUACCCUGGUAGUCCACGCCGUAAACGAUGAGUGCUAAGUGUUAGAGGGUUUCCGCCCUUUAGUGCUGCAGCAAACGCAUUAAGCACUCCGCCUGGGGAGUACGGUCGCAAGACUGAAACUCAAAGGAAUUGACGGGGGCCCGCACAAGCGGUGGAGCAUGUGSUUUAAUUCGAAGCAACGCGAAGAACCUUACCAGUCUUGACAUCCUCUGACAACCCUAGAGAUAGGGCUUCCCCUUCGGGGGCAGAGUGACAGGUGGUGCAUGGUUGUCGUCAGCUCGUGUCGUGAGAUGUUGGGUUAAGUCCCGCAACGAGCGCAACCCUUGAUCUUAGUUGCCAGCAUUCAGUUGGGCACUCUAAGGUGACUGCCGGUGACAAACCGGAGGAAGGUGGGGAUGACGUCAAAUCAUCAUGCCCCUUAUGACCUGGGCUACACACGUGCUACAAUGGGCAGAACAAAGGGCAGCGAAGCCGCGAGGCUAAGCCAAUCCCACAAAUCUGUUCUCAGUUCGGAUCGCAGUCUGCAACUCGACUGCGUGAAGCUGGAAUCGCUAGUAAUCGCGGAUCAGCAUGCCGCGGUGAAUACGUUCCCGGGCCUUGUACACACCGCCCGUCACACCACGAGAGUUUGUAACACCCGAAGUCGGUGAGGUAACCUUUGGAGCC
rnacentral:rRNA from 1 species